CCCUUAGAUGUUCUGGGCCGCACGCGUGCUACACUGAGUGGAUCAGCGGGUCAGGUUGCGCGAAAGCGUUUCCUAAUCCUUAAAUCCGCUCGUGAUGGGGAUUGACGGUUGCAAUUUUCUGUCAUGAACGAGGAAUACCUUGUAAGCGCGGGUCAUCAUCCCGCGCUGAAUACGUCCCUGCCCUUUGUACACACCGCCCGUCGCUCCUACCGAUUGAGUGGUCCGGUGAGGCUUUGGGAUCUGAGCGGAAAGAGCGUUUCGCUGUUUCUGCUCGGAAAACUCAGUCGAACCUUAUCAUUUAGAGGAAGGAGAAGUCGUAACA
rnacentral:rRNA from 1 species